GCGGUUUCGGGGCAAGCGCGCGACCUCGCCGGCGCGCGUCCCGGCGGUAGGCUAUGUGUGCGGGCGGCCUUGUACCCGGCGGCAACGGGUGGCUCCGUGGUCUCGGCAUUUCAUGGGCGAGUGGCGUGAUUUGGUGAGCUUGGUACCCACUAUUUUGGCCACCACGGCUGGUGGGAUCGGCGGUGUUCCGCGUGAGUGGAUUCGUGCGAGCCGAGCGAUUAUUCUUAUCUGCCUGCGUUCUUCUACAGCUAUCACGGAUUUCAGCGGCAGGGGCAUGCCAUGGAGCUAGGGAAGAUCCUUGACUCCUCGUUGUUAGUGUUCCUUACCAUGGCUGAGAUGGAGUCCGCAACACGCUUGGAGCCAGCGCCGCCGGCUGGAAAAGCAACGGCUCGUAUGCCUUUGGGGUCUCAUCGCCGCCUGAAAUCGAAUAUGGCCAUCUCACCUCGACAUCCCUCUCCACCCACCGUCCCCUACCUCCAUUAGCCGCUGAAAUCAACCAGCAGCCUCUGUACCUGAGUUCCCCAACCUGCAGUUCACGUCCAAGAUCCAGUACAACCAGAUGUCCCCCAAGGUUUGGUAUGAAUGAUUGUUUUGUCUGUAGCAGCAUUCUGGAUUGUGAAUGACCAUGACAUAAAAUUCUUGUUUUUUCAUCUAGUUCUUCAUCGAUUCUUUGAUAUGGUGAAUUAGUACUAUGCAAGUUACCACAAUUGCGCGAUUGACAUAGAUGAAAUAGUGGGUGAUCCAGUUUCGGUAGAUCCAAUUGCAUGUACUCUUGUUUAUGUUCUUGGUUAGAUCAAUUGGUCAACAUAAGCGAAAGAGUUCAUGUGUAUUUUCAUGUACGGCAACCAAAUUCCUGCUCGGUCCAGAGCGAUGCAUCACAUAAUUUGCUUGUUUUAGUUAUCACACAUGACCUGUUGUUCAUGUAACUGCAAAUUCGAGUUAUAUUUAUUCCAAUUAAAGCUGGUGUUUGCUUCUUAAUACAUGUUAAAGGCAUUUCAGCAUAUUUUUUUGUACACAAGUUAAACUAAUCGCAGAAAAUAAAUGCUUCCUUGCCGUUAAGUAUGUGAGUGUUCCUAAUUGGAUAGUUUUCUGUAUCAAAGGAAUUUUGUUGGCUUGCCUUUUACUGGCCGUUGACAAUGAUUUAUGUGGUUCACUGUUACUUAUAAAUAAAGUCACGUGACACAAUCUUCCCGUUAUGUGAUGUCGCAUACUCUGUUCAGCCUCUCAGUUAUAAUCUAAAGAGCUGAAUGAUCUUCUGCCUUUGUACUAGCCAUUUUGAAUUGUUUAAAAAUUGCAUGGCAUCCUAGGCCGUCAUAAGCCUUUACUUUGACAUCCUCCUGAUUGACCCGAAGAAGAUGCACCACCUCUUUAAAUGCUACAUUUUGGAGAGUCAUGUACAUGUUUUCAUUUGAAACCUGCAGUAUCUAUUUCAAUCACCCCUUUUCUUCAUUUGUCUUUUUCCUCGACAACGUUGUUGGUCGGCGGGUGGACUUGGUGGCGUUGUGGUUGGCGGUCUGAACCAUUGACAAUGGCGCCACGGUGAGGGGCAUUUCGCUUCGGUGAUAGGCAGCACGCCGGGUGGUGGCUGCAGGCGGUGUUGCGUGUCUAAUCGCUUCGUGGCGAGCUGAAAAAGGGAAGUAAUUCUAGGUAGAACCAAAAAAACCUGGUAGAGAUUAACAACAUGUGGCAGGUUAGCUGACUUCCGCUGCAGAGCAUGCGUUAGGUGGUCAAUAUCAGGUAUCCAUAUAAGUUGUUGCCCCAAACGUAUUUACCCGCACUGCUAUGUUUAUCAGCUCUCCAUGGCAUCUAGCUGCCCUAACUGGCGGCCAACGGAAUAAGGAACCUAACUUCUCCUCUUGUACUAUUUUUCUGAUGUCCGUGGCUAAUCAGGGGCAGGAGAUUCAAUCCUUAUUUGAUGCAUGCUGACACGGAUCAGUGGUACAUCAGAAAUUCAUGUACCGUACCAUGAGAAAUUGCUAUUCUUACCUCGUCCAACUGCUUCCUCCCAUUGAACAAGGGUUUGCCAAAGGCUGGUAUUUGGUUGCAUUUUCAGGCCCUUCUGCUGCUGGUGAUGCUGCAGCUCCGUCUGAUGGAGAUUUAACACCAUUUGGCGUAUUUUGUAACAAACCUGCAAGAAGAAAUGUCAUGAUCAUGAUGAGGCAUUCGAGUUCAAGACCGAUGAUUAGCAAGUGAUUGGAAGGCUUGACAUUAUAGUGCGGGAAGUCCCUGACAAGGUGUUGCUAACUCAUGAGGUGUCCUCCAAAAUGCCAUGCAGCGGAAUGAAAACUGCAAAAAAUAAUUAUACCGAGUCAUGUAAUUCACUAUAAGUUUGAAGAUUAAUUCUUUUAUUUUUAUUAGCCACGCUGGUUUGUAUUUUAUGAGCACCUAAGACUAUGUGGUAAUUCUUUCUGACA